rnacentral:lncRNA from 1 species
GCUAGGAGGAGGAGCUGCUCCAGAGUGGAGAAGGCUGUGGCAUCAGCCAGAUCAGAAUUUGCUGUGUCACUCUUGAAUUGCAUUGCCCAGACACAGAGUUAAGAGUGUCUCAUGAUGAUAACAACAAGGGUGAAGGAGAAUUCCUCCAAGGGCCACAUAAAAUAAUCCAAUCCUGCAGUGCCCGUGCUAUGGGGUCCUGAAGAGAAGCAAAACACCACAAAAACUCACAGCCUGGCCUUGCAGACAGCCUCAGCUUCAGGUCCAGGUGGAGGACAAGGAAGGAAGAAGAAAACCAACAGAGGGAUGGAAGUGGGGUAAAAGGUUCAUGGAAAAACUCGAAGGUAAUUUUUAUACACAGCCCAUGGAAGUUUCCUAGAGUGGAAGUUUUCUACCCACUUUUCCCUAAAAUGGAUCACUGGUUUUGCUAAUCAUCCCUCCAAAUUAUCCAAAUACCAGGAGAAUUGCCUAUGUUAGUUUUGCAUCUCUGCAGCAAAGGCUGUCAAAUUGUCACGGGGUCUCUUUUAUGGGUUAUGGAUAAGGGAUGAGCAUGCAAUCAGAGGAUGCUACCUUGAGCAUUCUCUCAAGCAAAUUCCUUGGGGUCAGGACAUCACAGACAUGCU